GAAGCUGCUCCGGCCUGCUCUGCGCAGCAGUGUCUGUGAGAGGUGCCACAGGAUUACAUAGAGGAGCUGGGAACACCCAGUGCCCAAGGCAUAGUUUAUCAAAAAGUAGCACUAAAUGUAGGUGAAGAUUAUAGUUCCUUUCACUUACUAAGCUCCUUAUUUUGAAGCAGUGGAUAGCAUGUGGCUACAUUUCUUCACCUGUCUCGGCAUUUCUGGACUGGCUCUGGUCUUUGCACAAAGACCAGAUGUUGAUGAUUCCAAAAAGGAUGAGGAGUUUCAACAAAAUCCUGACUCCAGCCAACCGCACAGGAGUGUUCAUAAGCCACCAAAGCCUGCUGGUGAUGCCCAUUUUGUGGCUUCCUUUGACACAGAUGGUUUUGAAGGGUGGGUAGUAUCUGAAGCUGCAAACGACGAUACCAGUGACAACAGAUAUGAAGGAAUGUGGGCUGUAGAAGAAUCUUAUAACCAGAAAAUCCCAGGAAACAAAGGACUCGUGCUGAAAUCCCGUGCCAAACAUCACGCUAUUGCUGCAAAUUUGCAGAAACCCUUCCCUUUCAAAAACAAGCCUCUCAUUGUGCAGUAUGAAGUACAUUUCCAGGAUGGGAUUCAGUGUGGGGGUGCAUAUCUGAAGUUGCUGUCUGAAGAUGAUCAGCUUGAUCUGAAAAAGUUCUUUGACAAAACCCCUUACACCAUCAUGUUUGGACCAGACAAGUGUGGCCACAACUACAAAUUGCACUUCAUAUUCAGACAUAGGGAUCCAGUAACAGGUGCAUUUGAGGAGAAGCAUGCCAGGAAACCGGACGUGGACCUCCAAAGUUACUUCACCGAUAAAAGACCUCACCUGUACACACUGAUUGUGAGACCAGACAACAGCUACGAGAUACGAAUUGAUGAAAUAUCUGUGAGUAAAGGAAGCUUCUUUCAUGACAUGACUCCAUCUGUCAACCCUCCCAAAGAGAUUGGAGAUCCCAGCCAUCAAAAACCUGAAGACUGGGAUGACAGGCCUCAGAUAGCCGACCCAGAGUCAGUGAAACCCAAUGACUGGGAUGAGGAUGCUCCCCGCAAUAUCCCAGAUCCCACUGCUGAGAAGCCUGAUAACUGGCUGGAUGAGGAACCAGAAUACAUUCCAGAUCCUGGAUCUAAGAAACCUUCAGAUUGGGAUGUAGAAAUGGAUGGUGAAUGGGAAGAACCAAGGAUCCCAAACCCUCUGUGUAAGACUGCGGGCUGUGGAACUUGGACACACCCCAUAAUCGCCAAUCCUGACUACAGGGGCAAGUGGAAGGCACCAAUGAUUGACAAUCCCAAAUAUAAGGGAGCAUGGAUACCUCGAACGAUACCUAAUCCAAACUAUUUUGAGGAUACAAACCCAUUUGAAAUGACUUCAAUCGGUGCAAUUGGACUGGAGCUCUGGUCACUCACUGCCAACAUUAUGUUUGACAAUUUUAUUGUCUCAUCCGAUGAGGAGGUUGUCAAGCAAUGGGUGAAAGACACGUGGGCAAAAACAAAAGCAGCCUACAAUGCAGAUGAACCUGGUUUAAUUAUGCAGCUCUUUAUGGCAGCAGACAAGCGUCCGUGGCUCUGGGGAGUCUACAUAUUCACAGUUGCCCUUCCAGUUAUCUUAUUCAUCAGCUUAUAUUGGCCAAAUGUGCGGUUUGGGCACCCUGAUAAUUAUUACUACAAGAAGACAGAUGAUGUGCAGUUUGGUGAUGAAGAAAAACUGGUUACAAAAGAGUCAGGUAACCUCAAUACUCAGGUAACCCUUCACAUGUUCAACAAGUUAAUGAAGAGGAGACUAAUGGGAUGAGAAAACAAAGUGCCCUGAGAGAAAUGAAAGCAGAUUUGGAAAUAUCUGCACAGGCUAUUCCUAGGGACACAUUUUGAGACAGACAUCAAGUGCUGCUGGAAGAUGCACUUUAGUCUGCCCAAAACAUUUACCAACUGCCCAUUCCAGAUUUCAAGAGUACGGGCUGAAGGACAUACUGAAGUUUGGUGCAGACAACACAGGCUCUGUAGAGGAGGACCACUAUCUAAGGUCUCCGCUGCCAGACAUUGAGGGGCAGAGUCCGAUGAGGAAACCCCACGGACAAAGGGCGGGGAUAUCAUCCCAGGGAGCCACAUGAGUGGCAAGGGUGUUUUCCUUACAGAAAAGUGCAAACAUCACUGAGUAUGACACUACACUGAAAAUCUAUGAAGGGUUUUUGCAGUUUUUGUUUUGUAUAUUUUUUUUUUCUGGUUUAUUUU